AAAUUUCACCAGGCAUUUUUGGUUUAUGAGUCUGUGACGAUCCGAUUAAAAAUUGCCUCAGGCAAAGUAGACCAAAGUGCAAUUGACCAAGUGUCGUAGGGUUCAGGCAAUAGGGUUCCCCCAGGCAAUCAAAUUUCACCAGGCAUUUUUGGUUUAUGAGUCUGUGACGAUCCGAUUAAAAAUUGCCUCAGGCAAAGUAGACCAAAGUGCAAUUGAAAGUAGACCAAAGUGCAUUAAAAAAAGAUUACGACACCCCCGAUUCCCAGGACGUCUCCGUUCCAAGUACUAAGGAAGCCCAGCGUUGCUUAACUUGCCAGAUCGGACGGGAUGGCGUGCUUUCAACGCGGUAAAUUGCCUCAGGCAAAGUAGACCAAAGUGCAAUUGACCAAGUGUCGUAGGGUUCAGGCAAUAGGGUUCCCCCAGGCAAUCAAAUUUCACCAGGCAUUUUUGGUUUAUGAGUCUGUGAUUAUGAGGUGUAGCGUAUAAGCCGUAAUUUUUAAUCUUUUGUCUCAAAUAAGUCCCCUUGACAGGGGUUCCACAGAAGGUGCAAGUCCUGUACAUUGAGAUAAUUGAUCGAUAUUUACGUGCUUUAGAGUCGGGUUGUUUGGGAUCGCAGCCCAAAGUCGGUGGUAAACUUCAUCUAAGACUCAAUAUUGCCACGAGACCGAUAGCAAACAAGUACUGUGAAGGAAAGUUGCAAAGCACUUUGAAGAGAGAGUUAAAGAGGACGUGAAACCGGAGAGGUGGAAACGGAUAGAGUCGGCGUAUCUUUCAAGUAUUCAUUUACAUUAUUUUUAUGUUGUGAUCUCUGAGCUCCAGAUUGGGACAGAAAGAAGCAUCAUAAUUUUCUGUGAUGCAUUUGCUUGUUUGGUGCUUGGGGAUGUUUGAGGCAGAUUUGUAACCGCCGUUUUGAGGCCAGCUUGCUGGUACCCAAACAGCGUUAGCAUCUUUUGUCUUGGACAUUUGAGUAUGGCUUACGGGCAUUUAUUGGUUCGAUCUGAUUGUAAGUUACGGUCGCAUGCGACACGUGCUUUUCAUUUAGAUCGGUCCAGUUAAUGCUCUCGUACUCGCUCCCCAUGUAAAAGCCGGUCAUCUAUCCGACCCGUCUUGAAACACGGACCAAGGAGUUUAUCGUGUGCGCAAGUUUUUGGGUGUUAAAAACCUAAAAGCGAAAUGAAAGUAAAUGGCUCUUUAGAGUCUGAUGUGAGAUCUUGUAAAAAAGGGCAGCAUGGCCCCAUUCUAACUGUUUACAGUAGGGUGGAGGAAGAGCGUACGCGGUGAGACCCGAAAGAUGGUGAACUAUUCCUGAGCAGGACGAAGCCAGAGGAAACUCUGGUGGAAGUCCGAAGCGGUUCUGACGUGCAAAUCGAUCGUCUGACUUGGGUAUAGGGGCGAAAGACUAAUCGAACCAUCUAGUAGCUGGUUCCCUCUGAAGUUUCCCCCAGGAUAGCUGGAGCUCAUUAGUAGUUAUACUCGGUAAAGCGAAUGAUUAGAGGACUUGGGAACGAAAUGUUCUUAACCUAUUCUCAAACUCUAAAUGGGUAUGAUGUCAAAGUUGCUUGAUUUUGAACUUUGGCGUUGAAUACGAGUUCCAAGUGGGCCAUUUUUGGUAAGCAGAACUGGCGAUGUGGGAUGAACCAAACGCGGAGUUGAGGUGCCAAAGUGCCCGCUCAUUAGACACCAUAAAAGGUGUUGGUUGAUACAGACAGCAGGACGGUGGCCAUGGAGUCAAUCAAAGUCAAUCAAAUUUAGUCAAUCAACCCCCAGUCAAUCAAAUUUACCCAAGGCAAUCAAAUAAUCGACUCAAGUAAAAUAUAUACUCAAGUAAAGGUAUGUAUAUAUAAACUACAAUUUAUAAAAAAGUUAAAUAAUUGUUUUCUAUAGACUCAAGUGUGUUUUCUUAGACUCAAGUUUUUGCCAAAGCAUUAAAAAAAGAUUACGACACCCCCGAUUCCCAGGACGUCUCCGUUCCAAGUACUAAGGAAGCCCAGCGUUGCUUAACUUGCCAGAUCGGACGGGAUGGCGUGCUUUCAACGCGGUAAAUUGCCUCAGGCAAAGUAGACCAAAGUGCAAUUGACCAAGUGUCGUAGGGUUCAGGCAAUAGGGUUCCCCCAGGCAAUCAAAUUUCACCAGGCAUUUUUGGUUUAUGAGUCUGUGACGAUCCGAUUAAAAAUCCCCCCCCCCCCCCCCCCCCCAGUCAAUCAAAUUUACCCAAGGCAAUCAAAUAAUCGACUCAAGUAAAAUAUAUACUCAAGCGGAGUAACUAUGACUCUCUUAAGGUAGCCAAAUGCCUCGUCGGCUAACUACCGACGCGCACGAAUGGAUCAACGAGAUUCCCACUGUCCCUAUCUACUAUCUAGCGAAACCACAGCCAAGGGAACGGGCUUGGCAAAUUUAGCGGGGAAAGAAGACCCUGUUGAGCUUGACUCUAGUCUGACUUUGUGAAGAAUCAUGAGAGGUGUAGCAUAAGUGGGAGUCGUAAGACAACAGUGAAAUACCACUACUUUCAUCGAUUCCUUACUUAAUCGGUAAAACGGGAGUUGUGUCUACGGACCUUCAUUUUUGUUUUAAGACUAGCCACUCGGUGGUUGGUUGACUCGCGCCGAUGACAUUGUCAGGCGGGGAGUUUGACUGGGGCGGUACAUCUGUCAAAUUGUAACGCAGGUGUCCUAAGGCGAGCUCAGAGAGGACGGAAACCUCUCGUUGAGCAAAAAGGCAAAUGCUUACUUGAUCUUGAUUUUCAGUACGAAUACAGACCGCGAAAGUGUGGCUUAUCGAUCCUUUUGAGUUUGUAAAGUUUACAGCAAGAGGUGUCAGAAAAGUUACCACAGGGAUAACUGGCUUGUGGCGGCCAAGCGUCCAUAGCGACGUCGCUUUUUGAUCCUUCGAUGUCGGCUCUUCCUAUCAUUGCGAAGCAGAAUUCGCCAAGCGUUGGAUUGUUCACCCACCAAUAGGGAACGUGAGCUGGGUUUAGACCGUCGUGAGACAGGUUAGUUUUACCCUACUAAAUACUUGUUGCUAUGAUGGUAAUCCUGCUUAGUACGAGAGGAACCGCAGGUUCAGACAUUUGGUUCAUGUGCUUGGUCGAUAGGCCAAUGGCGCGAAGCUACCAUCUGAGGGAUUAUGACUGAACGCCUCUAAGUCAGAAUCCCGCCCAGUCAUGAUAGCAAUAUAUAUCGCUCUCCGGUGUCGGAAGGCAAAAUGUAUGCCACUUUUUGUGGUAGUACAAGCCCCAGUAUCUGGCAUUUUCUUUCUACUAUAAUUGGUAGUUGGUUGCUAAAAGCUUAGCACUCCACGUGCAGGUGUAACGUCGGGGCGCAAAAUCACUUGUAUACGACUUGAAUACUGGUCAGGGGGUUGUAAACAGUAGAGCAGCUCUUCGCUGCGAUCUGCUGAGACUUAGCCCUUGAUCGGAUGAUUUGU